rnacentral:lncRNA from 1 species
AUGACAGUCAGGAGUCUCAUUACUUGCACCAAGGGAUUUUCUUCAGCUCUCCCCCAGAGCACAUCUUCUCAUAGCUCAAGAAAUGGGUGGAACUUGCGUCCGUCUGUCAGCACGAAUGAGGCCCCUGCCGUAUCGGAGCCUUUGGGAAUGACGCUCUUGGGUCCACAGCCUGCCUGCCCUCCGGCCUUAGACUGUGGUUCUGUUGCUGAAGCAGACGUGGCCCAGAUGGACUGCUGCUCUGUUACCAGUUUUCCCAACCUGGAGCCAUUUUAGUCCAACCCUUACUAUUUAAUUCUAUUAUUAUUUUUUUAACUGACCAUGUAAAAGCAACGGUUCUCUUUUUUAUGUCUUAAGUUAUGAAAGUAUGAUGACACAUUUAUAGGAGACUUGGAAAAUGCAGAACAAAGUUAUAUAUAGUUCUACCAUGUAUUAAAAUAAUUUUUAAGUAAAUAAAUUGAGAUUUCUUUAGUUGGUGUUUUGAUAU